ACAGUGGACGCGAGCAUCUGUGGCCAAGUUUUUAAGGGCGCACGGUGGAUGCCUUGGCACCAGGAACCGAUGAAGGACGUGGGAGGCCACGAUAGGCCCCGGGGAGUCGUCAACCAGGCUUUGAUCCGGGGGUGUCCGAAUGGGGAAACCCGGCAGUCGUCAUGGGCUGUCACCCUUGCCUGAACACAUAGGGCAAGUGGAGGGAACGCGGGGAAGUGAAACAUCUCAGUACCCGCAGGAAGAGAAAACAACCGUGAUUCCGGGAGUAGUGGCGAGCGAAACUGGAUGAGGCCAAACCGUAUGCGUGUGAGACCCGGCAGGGGUUGCGCAUACGGGGUUGUGGGAUCUCUCUUUCAUGGUCUGCCGGCCAUGAGACGAGUCAGAAACCGUUGAUGUAGGCGAAGGACAUGCGAAAGGUCCGGCGUAGAGGGUAAGACCCCCGUAGUCGAAACGUCAGCGGCUCGUUUGAGAGACACCCAAGUAGCACGGGGCCCGAGAAAUCCCGUGUGAAUCUGGCGGGACCACCCGCUAAGCCUAAAUAUUCCCUGGUGACCGAUAGCGGAUAGUACCGUGAGGGAAUGGUGAAAAGUACCCCGGGAGGGGAGUGAAAUAGUACCUGAAACCGUGUGCCUACAAGCCGUGGGAGCGUCGCUGAUGGGCUUGCCCAUCAGUCGUGACUGCGUGCCUUUUGAAGAAUGAGCCUGCGAGUUUGCGGUGUGUUGCGAGGUUAACCCGGGUGGGGAAGCCGUAGCGAAAGCGAGUCCUAAUAGGGCGUUUGAGUAGCACGCUCAAGACCCGAAGCGGAGUGAUCUAGCCAUGGGCAGGUUGAAGCGGAGGUAAGACUUCGUGGAGGACCGAACCCACCAGGGUUGAAAACCUGGGGGAUGACCUGUGGUUAGGGGUGAAAGGCCAAUCAAACUCCGUGAUAGCUGGUUCUCCCCGAAAUGCAUUUAGGUGCAGCGUCGUGUGUUUCUUGCCGGAGGUAGAGCACUGGAUAGGCGAUGGGCCCUACCGGGUUACUGACCUUAGCCAAACUCCGAAUGCCGGUAAGUGAGAGCGCGGCAGUGAGACUGUGGGGGAUAAGCUCCAUGGUCGAGAGGGAAACAGCCCAGAGCAUCGACUAAGGCCCCUAAGCGUACGCUAAGUGGGAAAGGAUGUGGAGUCGCAGAGACAACCAGGAGGUUGGCUUAGAAGCAGCCACCCUUGAAAGAGUGCGUAAUAGCUCACUGGUCUAGUGAUUCCGCGCCGACAAUGUAGCGGGGCUCAAGCGUACCGCCGAAGUCGUGUCAAUCCAGCAGAUAGCCCUAACGGGUGCUGGGUUGGGUAGGGGAGCGUCGUCUGCCGGGUGAAGCAGCACCGGAAGGUAGUUGUGGACGGUUGACGAGUGAGAAUGCAGGCAUGAGUAGCGAUUCACACGUGAGAAACGUGUGCGCCGAUUGACUAAGGGUUCCUGGGUCAAGCUGAUCUGCCCAGGGUAAGUCGGGACCUAAGGCGAGGCCGACAGGCGUAGUCGAUGGAUAACCGGUUGAUAUUCCGGUACCCGCUGUGGAGCGUCAAACAUCGAGCAUCGUGAUGCUAAGGCCGUGAAGCCGCCGGCUGAGUCUUCGGACGAGGUCGGAGUGGUGGAGCCGCUGAACCAAGCGGUUAGUAGGUGAGUGAUGGGGUGACGCAGGAAGGUAGUCCAGCCCGGGCGGUGGUUGUCCCGGGGUAAGGGUGUAGGACGUCAGGUAGGUAAAUCCGCCUGGCACAUAGUCUGAGACCUGAUGCCGAGCCGAUUGUGGUGAAGUGGAUGAUCCUAUGCUGUCGAGAAAAGCCUCUAGCGAGUUUCAUGGCGGCCCGUACCCUAAACCGACUCAGGUAGUCAGGUAGAGAAUACCGAGGCGUUCGGGUGAACUAUGGUUAAGGAACUCGGCAAAAUGCCCCCGUAACUUCGGGAGAAGGGGGGCCACACUCGGUGAUGAGCUUCGCGCUCUGAGCUGGGGGUGGCCGCAGAGACCAGCGAGAAGCGACUGUUUACUAAAAACACAGGUCCGUGCGAAGCCGUAAGGCGAUGUAUACGGACUGACGCCUGCCCGGUGCUGGAACGUUAAGGGGACCGGUUAGCUUGGAUUCGUCCAGGCGAAGCUGAGAACUUAAGCGCCAGUAAACGGCGGUGGUAACUAUAACCAUCCUAAGGUAGCGAAAUUCCUUGUCGGGUAAGUUCCGACCUGCACGAAUGGCGUAACGACUUCUCGACUGUCUCAACCAUAGGCCCGGUGAAAUUGCAUUACGAGUAAAGAUGCUCGUUUCGCGCAGCAGGACGGAAAGACCCCGGGACCUUUACUACAGUUUGAUAUUGGUGUUCGGUUCGGCUUGUGUAGGAUAGCUGGGAGACUGUGAACCUUGGACGCCAGUUCAGGGGGAGUCGUCGUUGAAAUACCAGUCUGGUCGUGCUGGAUGUCUAACCUGGGUCCGUGAUCCGGAUCAGGGACAGUGUCUGAUGGGUAGUUUAACUGGGGCGGUUGCCUCCUAAAGAGUAACGGAGGCGCCCAAAGGUUCCCUCAGCCUGGUUGGUAAUCAGGUGUUGAGUGUAAGUGCACAAGGGAGCUUGACUGUGAGACCGACGGGUCGAGCAGGGACGAAAGUCGGGACUAGUGAUCCGGCGGUGGCUUGUGGAAGCGCCGUCGCUCAACGGAUAAAAGGUACCCCGGGGAUAACAGGCUGAUCUUCCCCAAGAGUCCAUAUCGACGGGAUGGUUUGGCACCUCGAUGUCGGCUCGUCGCAUCCUGGGGCUGGAGUCGGUCCCAAGGGUUGGGCUGUUCGCCCAUUAAAGCGGUACGCGAGCUGGGUUUAGAACGUCGUGAGACAGUUCGGUCCCUAUCCGCUGUGCGCGUAGGAGUCUUGAGAAGGGCUGUCCCUAGUACGAGAGGACCGGGACGGACGAACCUCUGGUGUGCCAGUUGUUCUGCCAAGGGCAUGGCUGGUUGGCUACGUUCGGGAGGGAUAACCGCUGAAAGCAUCUAAGCGGGAAGCCUGCUUCGAGAUGAGGGCUCCCACCCACUUGAUGGGGUAAGGCUCCCAGUAGACGACUGGGUUGAUAGGCCGGAUAUGGAAGCACGGUAACGUGUGGAGUUGACCGGUACUAAUAGGCCGAGGGCUUGUCCUCAGUUG
rnacentral:rRNA from 1 species